rnacentral:rRNA from 1 species
GUGAGGAAUAUUGCGCAAUGGAGGCAACUCUGACGCAGCCAUGCCGCGUGCAGGAAGAAGGCGCUACGCGUUGUAAACUGCUUUUAACCGGGAAGAAACCCCAGGACGUGUCCUGGGUUGACGGUACCGGAGGAAUAAGCACCGGCUAACUUCGUGCCAGCAGCCGCGGUAAUACGAAGGGUGCAAGCGUUAUCCGGAUUCAUUGGGUUUAAAGGGUGCGUAGGCGGAGCGUUAAGUCAGUGGUGAAAUCCUGCAGCUUAACUGUAGACUUGCCAUAGAUACUGGCGCUCUUGAGUGCGCUUGAAGUGGGCGGAAUGUGCCGUGUAGCGGUGAAAUGCUUAGAUAUGGCACAGAACACCAAUUGCGAAGGCAGCUCACUAAGGCGAUACUGACGCUGAGGCACGAAAGCGUGGGGAUCGAACAGGAUUAGAAACCCCGGUAGUCC